AUCUGAUCAGCUUUUGUUGUUAUUGUAAAAUAGACUUUUGAAUCUCAAGACAGAGUAUGUGUCAUUGAGAAAAGGCUAUUUUUGAGUUCUAAUCUUUAUCCAUUGAAUAGCAAGAGCCAAGGUUCCCUAUGUAAACAAUAAACAAAGAAUAUGCAGUAAGAACUUAUUUUUUUCCUCCAACCAUCUAGGUCAUAUUUAAGAUUCCAUGGGCUGGGAAGAUGAAGAAAAAUUGGAGAGGUCCUUCUGGCUGUACCAUGUGGGACGCCACCUCAGCAUGGCCUGAUGAAUGGGGCCAUGUCCAAGCCCAGGAUCCGAACCAGUAAAACCCUGGGCUGUCAGAGCGGAAUGCAUGAAAUGAACCACCAAGCCACAGGGCCAGACCCUGUUUUUCUUAUAUGAAACAAAAUGUUACAUAAAAUUUAACUGAAAAGUCACUAAACCUUGGUGAAUUUGUUUUUAUUCCGAUUAUUGUAAGUAGACAAAAGUUGCAAACUACAAUGUGUUAUUGAUUGUGCAUUACUCUAUGUCACACUGUGUUGGGGGCUGCAAAGUUCAGAAAGGCUUGUGAUACACAACUUCAGAGGAAAAAAACCAAGGAAUGAGGCAUGAAGAGAAAUACGUUAGCAGGUCUAUAGCAUAAUCACUAAUGAAAGUAUAGCUUAUGUGAUAUCAUGUACAGUAUGACACCAUUUUAAAGUAUAUACCAUAACCAAAAUUUAAAAAUCUGCCAAAAAUAUUACAUCAAAAUGUUAAAUGCAUCUAUUGAUGACAAAAUUAGAGUGAAUUUAAAAUUUAUUCCCACUUUCAUUUAUUUUCUGAGUGUUUUAUAAUGAAGUUAUAUCCUUUUAAUAGUCUGGUUUGGUAUGAAAAUAGUUUUUGAGAAAAUGCAGCAUUACUGGUAACGAUAAGAUAUCAGUAAGGUGGGAAGGAAUGAGACAGGCUAUCCCAAAAGUAGAAUGGCACCAGGAAAGCAUAGUUUUGGGAAAAGCGAAGGGUUCUUGUGGACGGUGGAGGGUCUGGUCCAGACUUAUGACGAUCUAGAUAGUAGUGGGAGCAUCCUACUGGGAAUUUUCUGGAGUGCUUUGAAAGCUAAGGGGAGGAUCUUGCUUAUGCUCUGGAAGGCAACAUUGUAAAUGCUUAGGCGAGUAAUAUAAUCACAGUAAUGUUUUAGGAAUAUUACUAUACUUGUGGUGCUUAAUUUGAAAUAUAGUGAAAAAUGGGGGGACUAGGCUGGAUAAAAUAAUGCCCAGUCAUCUGUUAUUUAUUUAUAAUAAUAAAAGAUAUUUGAUCAUCUACAUGAACUAAUUUGAAAGUCAAGCUAUCUUUGGAAAAUAAAGAAAAAAAUAAUAUAAUAAAUAACAUCUAACCAUACUGUAUUUUUCCCUGCAUAAAAGACCUACAUGUUUCUCUGCAAACCCUAUCAAAACAGCCUUAUUUACAAAGGAGUUAGUUUCCAUAUACCAGGUCUUCCUUAAAGAGGGUCUUUGUCAUAUAAACUAGUUUUAAGAACUAGUUAAAUUCUAUAUUAACUUUUUAAUUGACAAAGUAUUUUUGUGACUCGUA
ensembl:lncRNA